CCGCCCCGCGCCCGGCUGCGUCAGCUGUGCAGAGUCCGCUGGGCGGGGUCCGCUGCUCCCAGCGCGCCCGCCCCGCACCUGCGCCGCGGGGUUUCGCCGGAGCCCGCACUUGUGCAGCUGCAGAACCGAGAAGUCAGUCUGUGCCCCGCGUAAGCACCCGGUCUCAGGUGCGGUUACAGCAGCACGAGAGGCACGAGGACGACCCCUGGCCACACUGCCUCCCUGCGCACCCGGCCACCGCGCCCCAGGAGGCACAGACAGGGCGCAGGUGGAGAGCGGCUCACUCCUACCCACCCCCUUCCGUGGCUCUGGCCCGCAGACGGAGCCCGUUUCACAGAUGGGACGCUGGUGCGUGGAGAGGGCGCGGCGGGCUCCCGGGCCGGCUGGAAAGUGGUGCCGUCUCUCCAGGGAACAGUUACAGGGAGCCUCCCUGAAGGGGCCUCCCACGACGCCGCGGUGAGAGGAGGGUUGGUGGCCACACGUGACAACAAGCCUGUGCCCUCUGGAGGGCCUCCUUUGACCAAGAACACGGUUUAGGUGGUUAAGUCGGUAUUAAAGAAUAGAGGUUUCAUCCAGCCUGUGAACCGGGGGCGCCCGGAGAGGGAGGUGUCAAGUGGUGCCUCACGGCGCUCCGCGCUGGCGCCCACUGGGAAGGCGCUGCCCUGGCGGCUGCACGCUCUGCAGGAAUUACCUAUUCUUAGGAAGUGGGGGUGGGAGUACACAGCAAAGGCCUAGGGGUGAACCUGCCUGUCCCUUUGGACAGCUGACUCAGCUAGGACGGUUGGGCGCUCAGGAGACUCUAGCACAGCUAAAAACCUUGCAGCCGCAGAGCCAGGAACUGGGUGUAAAGCAUCCCCAGCUUGAGGGGCAGGAGCUGGCUUCCUGUCAGGGGUCGGGGAAAGGUACACUCGCAUGGGCUUGCAGCCCAGCUGGGUCUGAAAGUAGUGAUGGGAGUAGUAAUAGCAGUGCCUGCCAGGCAGAGCCCAGAGCAGGGCAAAGGCCGCAGCCUGUCCUGGGUAGAAGAGAGAGGCUGCCUGGUGCUUGAAGCUGGAGGAAGACGACAGAACCUGGGCAGCUGGAUUAGGACAGGAGCAGGAAGGGCCUGGGGCUCCAGACUGAGGCACCUGGGGCAGAGAUUGGGCACUGGGACCCAGGUGGCCUUGGGAACUGUGGUACUGGUGCCACUCACACCAAAGCUCCUAGAAGGCCCAGGAGCCCAGCCGGGAAGAUACUUGGUAAUGACCACACACACACCCAAUGGGUGUAGCCAUUUUAUCUUCUUGGUUCCCCUAAGAAACCCUGUGAAGUUGGCAGAACAUCUAUUCAUUCAUUCAAAAGACGAUCGAUCAUUACAUCUGAGCUGGAAUGACAGCAUUUCACAUUCUAUAUUAUGUAUUUCUGGACUGUUGGAUUUUUAAAAUAAUUGCGUGAGUUAAUUCCUGUAAUCAGAAAAGGCAAAAAAAAAAAAAAAUUGAAUCACCAUUUGGGAUGUAGCCUAGUGUUGGAGCACUUGCUGAGGAUGUGUGAGGCCCUGAGUUCCACCUCCAGCACUGCAGACAAGGAGUACUUGGCUUUGGCUUUAUUUCCCAAACAUCACAGUGCACGCCUCCUUCACAGGAUAGGCCCUUUCAAGAGACCCACAGAUAAAGUUUCCCCAAGGCCUCAAGGUCUUAAGAACUGAUAAGAUUCUUAACUUUUGGAUCCAGUCUUGCCCUUUCAUCCUGUUUCCCAUUUUUUACUGGCCACAAGGAAGCUCCACAUCAAAUGUCAAAUACCUUUCUUCCCUAUUUGGCAUUCCUGUAAGACAUUCUGGUCUGUGAUUUUUUUUGGCGGUGGGAGGGCACCAGGGAUUGAACUCAGGGGCACUCAACCACUGAGCCACAUCCCCAGCCCUAUUUUGUAUUUUAUUUAGAGACACGGUCUCACUGAGUUGCUUAGCACCUUGCUGUUGCUGAGGCUGGCUUUGCACUUGAUCCUCCUGUCUCAGCCUCCCGAGCCACUUGGAUUACAGGUGUGCACCACUGCACCCAGCACUGGUGUCCGUUUUUUUUAAUAUUUAUUUUUCAGUUGCAGAUGGACACAAUACCUUUAUUUUAUUUAUUUUUGUGUGGAUGCUGAGGAUCGAACCCAGGGCCUUGUGCUAGGUGAGUGCUCUACCGCUGAGCCACAACCCCAGCCCCUGUGCCUUAUUUUCUGCUGAGAACCUCACUCCCCAUUCAGGCCAUGUACAAAUGUGGCACCUCUCCUGGUGGCCAAGAAUUUCUCAGUGUCUGUUCAUUCAUUAAUUUUUACAUUUUUAUUUUUAAACCUUUUUUAGUUAUAGGUGAACAUAAUGGCUUUGUUUUCUUUAUUUUUAUAUGGUUCUGAGGAUGGAACCCAGGGCCUCAUACAUGCUAGGGAUGUACUCUACCACUAAGGUACAGCCCCAGCCCUAAACUUUUAUUUUUCUUGCACAGCUCCGGGGAUUGAACCCAGGGGUUCUUGACCACUGAGCCACAUCCCCAGUUCUUUUGAUCUUCUGUUUUGAGACAGGGCCUUGCUAAGUUGCUGAGGCUGGCUUUGAACUUGCCAUCCUCGUGCCUCAGCCUUCCAGAUUGCUAGGAUCACUGAGUGCGCCCCUAUGGUCAGCUCAUAAUAGUAGAGCACCCCGGGAUUCCAUCCCCAGCACUACCACCACAACAAAAGUAUGAACAAGGUGCGGACACUGCAUUCACAGGGUACAAAAGUGUAAAGGUACCGAAGAGUCCUCAUUGCAAAGCCAAUCUGCCCCCUCCUCUGUCCCCAGACACCAGCUUACCUUUCCAGGUUCCUGGGGGUCCCCUCCAGAGACAGUUCACACAAGAAGAAAUUAGAUACAGAAAAUUCAGUGCGCCACUCUUUUCACGUACCCUGGCAGGAACCUGGGUGGAGACUUUCCAUAUUGGAGCACUGUGAGGUAGCCUCAGGCCUGAGCCUACGCAGCUCCAUUUAAAAACUCCAGUUUGAAGCCUGCAGUGUCACCAGGCACGCCUCAGGAGCCCUCCAGUGUGGCCCUCAGGCACAAUCACUUCUCCCCACCCUGACAAACUCUGGGUGAAGUCUCCAGCACGUUGUCCUUGCCCCAUAAGAAGGAGAGGUGAAAAGAUCAGGGUGGGGACCACCAGACCAGCUGCUUUAACCCCAGGGCAAAUGACAUCAUUGAGGAACUCAACGGCAGCUGAUAGGGAUUGAAAGGUGGUCAGAAGCCCCGAGAUCCAGUGUGAGGGAGCAAAUGAACAUUCAGCAGCCAACACUGAUGCCCUCACACUGAGGGCCUGAUGAGGACCUGGACUGGCAUCCCAACUCUUCUCAUCGUUUGAUGACCCUCUGCAUCCUCCUCACCACUCUCAAACUCUACAGCCACAUCUUGACCCUGGUGAGAGCCACAACUUCUCCCUAGGACCUCUUCUCAGCCGGCUGUCAGCUCCACCCCGGGAGAAGCCUGCCUUGGUUCCUGACCUGAUCACCGCUGUCUGAGUGAGUGGGCAUCUGCUGGACUUAGAGACUUCUGAUCCGACACUUGAGCUUAGCAUGCAGAGGGACUGUCUGUCAUGAGUCUGUCGUGAUUAAGUGUGUUUGCAGUGCUUAGAAUUAAUCUAGAAAUGGUUGCUGUGGAUUGAUUAUGUCCAUUGCAGUGCCUAGCAUUAAGGAUUGUCAUUUCCUUGAUUAGGAGCCCACAGAGUGAACUUGUAUUGAGUGAUUUGAGUGAAUAAAGCAUUGACAAAGGCAGAAGCACAUGGACAUUCUUUAUUUCUUCAUUCUCUUCCUUUUGCCAUCGUGACAAACACAGACUUCCUUGAUCUUUUCCUGGCUGUGUAGUAUUCUAAUGUGUGUACUAUUCUGUGAGUGUUGGCUAGGUAUCUAGGUGGUUUUGAUUUCAUUGUUGCAAACAAGGCUGGAAUGAUCAAAUGCCCUCCUCAUUUUUUAUAUACUGUAUCUGAAGACUCAUCCUACAGAGGAUUCUGGCAGAACCUGUGUUCCUGGAGCAAGGUGCGAGGUGUAAGUACUGUGGCCCUCUGUACCCUACUGUGGAUUCAACCCUGGAAAGAAAAUAUUUGAAAAGAAAAUUGUGUCUAUGCUUAACAUGG
rnacentral:lncRNA from 1 species